GGGGGCUAGCGUUAUCCGGAUUUACUGGGCGUAAAGGGUGCGUAGGCGGUCUUUCAAGUCAGGAGUGAAAGGCUACGGCUCAACCGUAGUAAGCUCUUGAAACUGGGAGACUUGAGUGCAGGAGAGGAGAGUGGAAUUCCGAGUGUAGCGGUGAAAUGCGUAGAUAUUAGGAGGAACACCAGUUGCGAAGGCGGCUCUCUGGACUGUAACUGACGCUGAGGCACGAAAGCGUGGGGAGCAAACAGGAUUAGAUACCCUGGUAGUCCACGCUGUAAACGA
rnacentral:rRNA from 1 species